rnacentral:rRNA from 1 species
UACGGGAGGCAGCAGUGGGGAAUAUUGCACAAUGGGCGAAAGCCUGAUGCAGCUAUGCCGCGUGUAUGAAGAAGGCCUUAGGGUUGUAAAGUACUUUCAUCGGGGAGGAAAAACAAAACUAAUAAUUUUAUUUCUUGACGUUACCCGAAAAAGAAGCACCGGCUAACUCCGUGCCAGCAGCCGCGGUAAUACGGAGGGUGCUAGCGUUAAUCAGAAUUACUGGGCGUAAAGAGCACGUAGGGUGGUUUUUUAAGUCAGAUGUGAAAUCCCUGGGCUUAACCUAGGAACUGCAUUUUGAAACUGAAAUACUAGAGUAUCGUAGAGGGAGGUAGAAUUCUAGGUGUAGCGGUGAAAUGCGUAGAUAUCUGGAGGAAUACCUGUGGCGAAAGCGGCCUCCUAAACGAAUACUGACACUGAGGUGCGAAAGCGUGGGGAGCGAAACAGGGAUUAGAUACC